rnacentral:rRNA from 1 species
UACGGGAGGCAGCAGUGGGGAAUAUUGCACAAUGGGGGAAACCCUGAUGCAGCAACGCCGCGUGAAGGAAGAAGGCCUUCGGGUUGUAAACUUCUGUCCUAGGGGAAGAAACAAAUGACAUUACCCUUGGAGGAAGCCCCGGCUAACUACGUGCCAGCAGCCGCGGUAAU